rnacentral:tRNA from 1 species
UCCGCAGUAGCUCAGUGGUAGAGCUAUCGGCUGUUAACCGAUCGGUCGUAGGUUCGAGUCCUACCUUCGGAGCCA